GCGCGAAAACUUUACAAUGCGAGAAAUCGUGAUAAGGGAACCCCGAGUGCCCGUAAAUCCGGGCUGUCCAUCAGUGUAAAAAACUGGUGAAGAAAGGGCCGGGCAAGACUGGUGCCAGCCGCCGCGGUAAUACCGGCGGCUCGAGUGGUGGCCGCUAUUAUUGGGCUUAAAGCGUUCGUAGCUGGAUUGUUAAGUCUCCUGGGAAAUCCACCGGCUCAACCGAUGGGCGUUCGGGAGAUACUGGCAAUCUAGGGACCGGGAGAGGUGAGAGGUACUCCAGGGGUAGGAGUGAAAUCCUGUAAUCCUUGGGGGACCACCUGUGGCGAAGGCGUCUCACCAGAACGGACCUGACGGCAAGGGACGAAAGCUAGGGGCACGAACCGGAUUAGAUACCCGGGUAGUCCUAGCCGUAAACGAUACUCGCUAGGUGUCGGCCACGGUGCGACCGUUGUCGGUGCCGUAGGGAAGCCGUGAAGCGAGCCACCUGGGAAGUACGGCCGCAAGGCUGAAACUUAAAGGAAUUGGCGGGGGA
rnacentral:rRNA from 1 species